GUUUCGACAGGGAUCCUGAACCUUGGGAAGCGAGCAGCGGUGCGGACCCGCUAUAAAAGCCGCAAUUUAAAAUUAACUGACAACAAUAAAGUUGCUCUUGCAGCCUAAUUAGGCUGCCGUCCGACCAGAGAUUACCACGACUCUGCAAGGGCGUCGAUUAGUGGUGAACGUGAAUGUCGGUUUGCUUCUGCCGAUAUCAUGAAUUUGAAGCUACCAAAUGCAGAAGUUUGACAUUUAACGUCUGCAUAAGGGAAUGUAAAUAAAUGUCUGCGCUCGGAGAGUCUCAAGGGAAUAGAUUUUUGGACAGGGGUUCGACUCCCCUCGCCUCCACCA
rnacentral:tmRNA from 1 species